CCUACGGGGUGCAGCAGUGGGGAAUAUUGGACAAUGGGCGAAAGCCUGAUCCAGCCAUGCCGCGUGUGUGAAGAAGGCCUUCGGGUUGUAAAGCACUUUCAGUGGGGAAGAAAGCCUUGGGGCUAAUACCCUCGAGGAAGGACAUCACCCACAGAAGAAGCACCGGCUAACUCCGUGCCAGCAGCCGCGGUAAUACGGAGGGUGCGCGCGUUAAUCGGAAUUACUGGGCGUAAAGCGCGCGUAGGCGGUCUGAUAAGCCGGUUGUGAAAGCCCCGGGCUCAACCUGGGAACGGCAUCCGGAACUGUCAGGCUAGAGUGCAGGAGAGGAAGGUAGAAUUCCCGGUGUAGCGGUGAAAUGCGUAGAGAUCGGGAGGAAUACCAGUGGCGAAGGCGGCCUUCUGGACUGACACUGACGCUGAGGUGCGAAAGCGUGGGUAGCAAACAGGAUUAGAUACCCGGGUAGUC
rnacentral:rRNA from 1 species